rnacentral:rRNA from 1 species
AGAGUUUGAUCCUGGCUCAGGACGAACGCUGGCGGCGUGCUUAACACAUGCAAGUCGAACGGUGAAGUCCCUUCGGGGGCGGAUCAGUGGCGAACGGGUGAGUAACACGUGGGCAAUCUGCCCCUCACUGUGGGAUAACUCCGGGAAACCGGGGCUAAUACCGCAUAUGAAGCCUGGCGGCAUCGCCGGGUUUGGAAAGUUUUUCGGUGAGGGAUGAGCCCGCGGCCUAUCAGCUUGUUGGUGAGGUAAUGGCUCACCAAGGCGACGACGGGUAGCCGGCCUGAGAGGGCGACCGGCCACACUGGGACUGAGACACGGCCCAGACUCCUACGGGAGGCAGCAGUGGGGAAUAUUGGGCAAUGGGCGAAAGCCUGACCCAGCGACGCCGCGUGCGGGAUGAAGGCCUUCGGGUUGUAAACCGCUUUCAGCAGGGAAGAAGCGAA